rnacentral:rRNA from 1 species
UGCAAGUCGAGGGGUAGAGUUAGCUUGCUAGCUUGAGACCGGCGCACGGGUGCGUAACGCGUAUGCAACCUACCUUAAUCAGGGGGAUAGCCCGAAGAAAUUCGGAUUAACACCGCAUAAAAUCACAGAAUAGCAUUAUUCAAUGAUCAAAUAUUUAUAGGAUUAAGAUGGGCAUGCGUGUCAUUAGCUAGUUGGCGGGGUAACGGCCCACCAAGGCGACGAUGACUAGGGGAUCUGAGAGGAUGACCCCCCACACUGGUACUGAGACACGGACCAGACUCCUACGGGAGGCAGCAGUAAGGAAUAUUGGUCAAUGGAGGCAACUCUGAACCACCCAUGCCGCGUGCAGGAAGACUGCCCUAUGGGUU